UACGGGGGGGGCAAGCGUUGUUCGGAAUUACUGGGCGUAAAGGGCGUGUAGGUGGCCAACUAAGUCCGACGUGAAAUCCCCAGGCUUAACCUGGGAACUGCGUCGGAUACUGGAUGGCUUGAAUUCGGGAGAGGGAUGCAGAAUUCCAGGUGUAGCGGUGAAAUGCGUAGAUAUCGGAAGGAACACCAGUGGCGAAAGCGGCUUCCUGGUCCAGCACCGACGUUCAGGCACGAAAGCGUGGGGAGCAAACAGG
rnacentral:rRNA from 1 species